rnacentral:lncRNA from 1 species
GAGACAGCACUCAGGAGCUGCCCAAGUCAGAUACUUGUUUUUCUGGUUGCAGCUUUUGGAAUCCUUUACCUAAUGCCCUACCCAACUCCUGAUUUGCCUGUAGAGAUGGUCAAUAAAAAGAAGCAGAGGUUCAUGGGACUUCCAGGACAAUGCUUCAUGAUUCUAAGCAUUGCUGCUAACUAGACAGAACAAUGACAGCCAUUUGAGAAUUAUGAGACAAAGAUCAAGAGCAUAUCACAGACUUGGCCUUGCCAUCCUUGAGCAGCUAAACACACAACAUCAAACUCCUACUUCCAUACUUAGUAUUACAUGAGUAUAUCAAAUUUUAUGUAUUUAACUCUGCCUAGUCAGAUUUUUUUUAUAAGCUCCAAGCACAAUUUUUAGCUAAUUUAGUAAAUUCAUUCUUACAGAAGUGAUAAAAAUUACCCAAGGACACUCAGAUAACAAAAGUCAGAGUAGGGCUGUGAACUUCAGUCUUAUUACCUCAUGCUCAUUUUCUUACACUAUAUGCCAUUGCAUGAGCCUUAGAAACUGUGUUCUGGUUCAGUGUUCUGCAGCAGUUUAUUUAAAGCUCAUGAAAUAUUAUAAAGAGUAGGCUGAGAUUGAAUUAGACAAGGUGACAGAAAUAUGCACUGGUUAAAAUCUUCCUUACCUUCAACCUCAGUCCCCACUUUUGCACUUGUCUUAAACAUUGGAUUAUUUCAAUCAGCAGAUCACUGUGUUAUCACUUAUAGUAAAAGACUGACCGCUGUCUUUAUUAAAAACACAUUAAUGUACGUGUAUAGUUGAUGCAGGGAUAUCCCAAAGCGGAGUGGUUUUAGUGAAAAAAAAAAGGAGGGAGGGAGGGAGGGAGGAAGGAGGAAAGAAAGGAAAGGAAAGGAAAGGAAAGGAAAGGAAAGGAAAGGAAAGGAAAGGAAAGGAAAGGAAAGGAAAGGAAAGGAAAGGAAAGGAAAGUGAAGGGUAGGAUUCAUUUCUGCUUUAAGUGUGAUAUUUCUCCCUUUUCUUCAUACUGAUUCUUGAAGCAUAGAAUUGCUUCUGUCAAAAAUACAGCAAUUCUUUAUUUAUCCCCACUCUGAAUAUUAAGAGAGUAAUUUUAAGGUGAAAGCAUAUUAAGAAAGGCUUACUUCUUCAUUUUUUUUUCUAUUCUUGGCCUAAGGACCACAUGAUUUUAUAUAUGGUCUGCUAACCAACUGCUAAGUAUUAGGACAGAAAUUAUCAAAGAGAACCAGUAAAUUCUGUCUUUUUUUCCUCUGGUACUUCUCUAACUGGAGAAUCCUCUUCAUUUUAAGUGGAAGAUCUUCCUCUUAGUAAGAGUGCUCUGACCUACAUAAACCGUGUAGCAUAGAAGCCAUAUUUUUUCUCUUUUAAAUUCCACACAAAUUAACCUCCACACCUGAAAGUUUUAUGUUAAACUAAUUUAAUAUGUUAUUUCUUUGCCUUUUGAACUCUUUUCAAAAACUAAAUAACUAUUUGGCUAGAUAAAUGCCCUUGAAAGUAAAAGUUCCACUCUCUUGCUUUUUAAAAAUAAUAUUAUGAUCUCUUGACUUAUGGUUAUAUUUCAUAAUGGUGGUGAAUAUAAAUUAUUUAAAAACUGUACCCUCAAUUUUAACUCUUUAUAUUGCUAUCAAAUCUUUCAGAAACAUUUUUACAAUUUUUUUUCUAGUUGGUUACUAUUACUUUUACUCCAUUACUUUUUAAAAUAAAAUCAUUAUAUAUAACAAGGAGACAAGUUCCAUAUUAUAUAUUGUGUAUGGCAUCAAAUUCACAUAUGACAUUAGCUUCCUCUGUGGGUCUUCUUCUUCUAGAAUUUGUCUCCAUCAAUUUAUCCAGUGCAUCACAACAACUUCAAAGUUUGCAACACAAAACUUCAUUUCCAAAAGAUAUUCAGUAUCCCCUCAUCCCUAGGGGGAAUGUAUAUAAUUCUUAGCCUAAUAUUCAAGACUCAUCAUCACAUAUCUUUUGUAAGUCAUCACCAUCCACAUCUGACCCAUCAUCAGUCAUGCUGAUUUGCUCAGUCUUAUGAAUGGGCCUUGAAAUAUUUAUUCUUUCCCUCCAAAAUGAAUAAGAUAGAGUAUAAAUAAAAUGCAUCAUCUACUUGUAUAAAAGUCUUAGUGCCACACACAAUUCUAAAUAUGUACAAAUUGUUUUGAGCUUGUAGAACCAAGUCAUGAUGGAUAAUCUCAUGUAUAUUGUUUAUUUAUUUUAACUGAAAAAUAAAAUUGUGUAUAUUUACUAAGUAUAACAGGAUGUUUUGAGAUAUGUAUACAUGAAUGGCUAAAUUGUGUUAAUGAACAUAUGCAUUACCUCACAUGCUUAUCAUUUAUCUUUUUUUGUGGAGACACUUAAAAUCUACUUUCAUAGCAAUUUUCAAAUAUAUAAUAUACUGUUAUUAACUGUAGUCACCAUAAUGUGCAGUCAACCUAUUAAGUUUAUUCCUCUUAUCUGACUGAAAUUUUAUGUCCUUUGACCAAUAUCUCCCCAAGGCUCCUACCUACAAGCUUCUAG